rnacentral:rRNA from 1 species
CCUACGGGAGGCAGCAGUGGGGAAUCUUGCGCAAUGGGCGGAAGCCUGACGCAGCAACGCCGCGUGGGGGACGAAGGCUCUCGGGUUGUAAACCCCUUUCAGUGGGAACGAUGAUGACGGUACCCACAGAAGAAGCACCGGCUAACUACGUGCCAGCAGCCGCGGCAAUACGUAGGGUGCGAGCGUUGUCCGGAUUUAUUGGGCGUAAAGAGCUCGUAGGCGGUUCAGUAAGUCGGGUGUGAAAACUCUAGGCUCAACCUGGAGACUGCAUCUGAUACUGCUGUGACUAGAGUCUGGUAGGGGAUCACGGAAUUCCUGGUGUAGCGGUGAAAUGCGCAGAUAUCAGGAGGAACACCGGUGGCGAAGGCGGUGAUCUGGGCCAGUACUGACGCUGAGGAGCGAAAGCGUGGGGAGCAAACAGGAUUAGAUACCCUGGUAGUCCACGCCGUAAACGUUGGGCACUAGGUGUGGGUCCUUAUCAACGGGAUCCGUGCCGCAGCUAACGCAGUAAGUGCCCCGCCUGGGGAGACGCGCANACUAACUACAANAGAGUGACGCGNGAGACGNGACGACGCGACGACGAGGGAGAG